GUGAUGCGGGCUUAUUAUAUGAUACGACGAAGCUCGCGGCGGCGGAUGAACGAAUUACGGAUCUAACGAAUCGGCGUUUCAAAUAAAAUUUUAUCGUGUGCAUUUAAUCUUGACUUUUGUGCUAGUGUAUGUGCUGUAUAGAACGCACGACAUGUCCUUAUUUUUGAAUUUUAAAAUGCGCAUUAUUUAAUUUGUCCAACGACUCAUAUGCACGCCACAACCGUCGCUGGUCGCUGUUGUUAUACAGUACCUAUUUAAACGAUUAUAAGCGCCUAUAUAUUACAGAAUAUGGAUGAAGGGGUUAAACAACUGUAAACAUUGGCCUGUCGAAAUUCACCCGAUACCGACUUCAAUAUAAUAUCGUGUAGUCUAUCUGGUUGCUUAAUAUUAUGUCUAUGUAUUUCGCCGGCGGCGCUGUUGGUUAUAAUUACGGUGCGGCCGCGGCGUGUCAAUGAAGGGUUUUAGAUACGUUGAUGAAAAUGCAGGCGAGCGUUAACAUUAUCACCAUUGGUUCAUCACGCUGGACUAAGCCCUGCGGUGGUCACGAAAUUCGCAUCGGGCUUAUAUACAUACAUCGACACAAAGGUCCAACACUCAAAUCGAAUCACGAAAUCGUAAUAAUCACUGCGAUUGUAAUAUAUUCGGAGACCUGAGUCUAGAAUAAUUAUACUUUGACCGUAAUGUUUUAAUUGUUCCAGGUUCAAUUAAGUAACAAAUUGAUUAUUAUUUAAAAAAAAAAAGUGAACAUUAAAAAUAAACAUUUAUAAAAGAAAAUUUACAACUUAGAACUAUUAAGCGGAAUUGGUGGCGAACAAAAUAUAAUUUAUGGACUAUAAAUCGAGAGGAAGAGUCGAAGAGAGUUCCGCUAAACGAGGUUGUUCACGAGCUGAAUUUAUUAUGGACUCAUCUGCAUUUCACGCAAAAACUGUAUGGCGCUCAACGACAAUCAAUGGAUCAAAUAAUAUAAUAUUAUUCUUAAUACUAGUAAUUUAUUUUACUAACUUUUAUUAUUAUUACAAUUAUUAAUAUUUUAAUUUCUGUUAUUGUCAUUAUUGAUGUUAUCGCUGUUAUUGAGUACAUGUUGUGUGAGGCAAUAAGGCUUAAAGGGUGCACCCACGCAUAAUCACCCUUUUAUAAAAUUCCAUUAUGGCUAUAUCUUUUAGAUGCCUAAUAUAUCAAUAUAACUCAAAGUGUACAUAUUUUAAUAAUUAAAAAGGAAUAUGUAUGCGUUUUAUCAUAUCUUAUAUUACUCAAUUUUUUUUUA